CCUACGGGUGGCAGCAGUGAGGAAUAUUGGUCAAUGGGCGGGAGCCUGAACCAGCCAAGUCGCGUGAGGGAAGACGGUCCUAUGGAUUGUAAACCUCUUUAGGCGGGGAGCAAUGCAGGGCACGCGUGUCCGGAGGGCGAGUACCCGCAGAAUAAGCAUCGGCUAACUCCGUGCACGCAGCCGCGGUAAUACGGAGGAUGCGAGCGUUAUCCGGAUGUAUUGGGUUUAAAGGGUGCGUAGGCGGAUUGUUAAGUCAGCGGUAAAAUGUCCGGGCUCAACCCGGGCCGGCCGUUGAAACUGGGGAUCUUGAGUGGGCGAGAAGUAUGCGGAAUGCGUGGUGUAGCGGUGAAAUGCAUAGAUAUCACGCAGAACUCCGAUUGCGAAGGCAGCAUACCGGCGCCCGACUGACGCUGAGGCACGAAAGCGUGGGGAUCGAACAGGAUUAGAUACCCCAGUAGUC
rnacentral:rRNA from 1 species